rnacentral:rRNA from 1 species
CCGCACAAGCGGUGGAGCAUGUGGUUAAUUCGAUGCUACGCGAAGAACCUUACCUGGGCUUGACAUCCCGGGAAUCUUCCAGAGAUGGAGGAGUGCCCUUCGGGGAACCCGGAGACAGGUGGUGCAUGGUUGUCGUCAGCUCGUGUCGUGAGAUGUUGGGUUAAGUCCCGCAACGAGCGCAACCCCUAUUGUUAGUUGCCAUCAUUCAGUUGGGCACUCUAGCGAGACUGCCGGUAAUAAACCGGAGGAAGGUGGGAUGACGUCAAAUCAUCAUGCCCCUUAUGACCUGGGCUACACACGUGCUACAAUGGUUGGUACAACGAGUUGCGAGUCGGUGACGGCGAGCUAAUCUCUUAAAGCCAAUCUCAGUUCGGAUUGUAGGCUGCAACUCGCCUACAUGAAGUCGGAAUCGCUAGUAAUCGCGGAUCAGCACGCCGCGGUGAAUACGUUCCCGGGCCUU